rnacentral:rRNA from 1 species
CCUACGGGGUGCAGCAGUGGGGAAUUUUGCGCAAUGCUCGUAAGAGUGACGCAGCGACGCCGCGUGAAUGACGAAGGCCUUCGGGUCGUAAAGUUCUUUCGACAGGGAAGAAAAUGCAUAUAAGUAACUGUGUAUGUAUUGACGGUACCUGUAUAAGCAGCCCCGGCUAACUCCGUGCCAGCAGCCGCGGUAAUACGGAGGGGGCGAGCGUUGUUCGGAGGGACUGGGCGUAAAGAGCACGUAGGCGGUGUUGUAAGUCAUUAGUCAAAGACUAGAGCUCAACUUUAGUAAGGCUAGUGAUACUAUAAUACUAGAGUAUCAGAGAGGAUUGCAGAAUUCCUGGUGUAGCGGUGAAAUGCGUAGAUAUCAGGAGGAAUACCGUUAGCGAAGGCGGCAAUCUGGCUGGAAACUGACGCUGAGGUGCGAAAGCGUGGGUAGCAAACAGGAUUAGAUACCCCGGUAGUC